GCGCGUGCGCACGGCCAGGCAGCCUGGGCGGCGGGUCCUGCCAGUGACGGACGGCGGCGGCCGGUCCUGCUUGUGACGGCGGUGGCGGCAGAUCCCGCCUGUGACUGCUUCGGUGGCUGCUCCAGACACCUGCGGCGGCGCCGGCGGCGACCCCACGGCGGCCGCGAUGUGGCCCCUGGUGGUGCUGCUGCUGCUGGGCUCGGCUUGCUGCGGUUCGGCUCAGCUAAUAUUUAACAUAACCAGAUCUGUAGAAUACACUGCUUGCAAUGAAACUGUUAUCAUCCCAUGCUAUGUUAAUAAUGUGGAGGCCACAAACAUUAAUGAAAUGUAUGUAAAGUGGAAAUUUAGAGGAAAAGACAUUUUCACCUUUGAUGGCGCUAUAGAAAAGACCACUCGCGACGAUAAAUUUAAGAGUACAAAAAUCAUACCACAAAAAUUACUAAAUGGCAUUGCCUCUUUGGAGAUGAACAAGGAAGAGGCUGUUGUAGGAAACUACACUUGUGAAGUAACAGAAUUAAGCAGAGAAGGCGAAACCAUCAUAGAACUAAAAUACCGUAUUGUUUCAUGGUUUUCUCCAAAUGAAAAUAUCCUCAUUGUCAUUUUCCCAAUUUUGGCUGUACUACUUUCUUGGGGACAGUUUGGUAUUGUGAAUGCUGUGGAGCACAUCUGCAGUCACAUUUUCAUCUCACAAGAACUCUGUGGGGCGCUUAAAUAUAAAUCCAGUCUCAUGAAGGAGAAAACCAUUCUUUUAUUUGUUGGUGGACUAGUGCUCACUAUAGCUGUCAUUGUUGGAGCCAUUCUUUUUGUCCCAGGUGAAUAUUCAACAAAGAAUUCUUGUGGACUUGGUUUAAUUGUGGUUCCUACAGUGAUUUUAAUAUUGCUUCAGUACUGUGUGUUUAUGAUAGGUGUUUGGAUGUCUUCCUUCACCAUCGCCAUAUUGAUCCUUCAGGUACUGGGCUAUGUGCUCUCUGUGGUUGGACUAAGCCUCUGUGUCUCAGAGUGCACCCCAGUGAACGGCCCUCUUCUGAUUUCAGGUUUGGGUAUUAUAGCUCUAGCAGAAUUACUUGGAUUAGUUUAUAUGAAACUUGUUGAAUUCAGAGGCACACCUUCGGUCAGUUGAAGGGCAAGAAGAGAAAAGCUUCCAAUCAGAAGACUAUACAACCUCCUAGGAAAGCUGUAGAGGAACCCCUUAAUGAGUAACUGAAGUGAAGUGAUGGACUCUGAUUUGGAAAGUAGUAAGACAUGAAAGGAAUACAAUUGUGUUUAAGCACCAUGGCCUUGAUUCACUGUUCAGGAGAAGAAAACAAGAAAAAUUACUGGUUCUCAUCUGUGGGAGAAAGUAAAUCUUUGACCCUUAAAUGAUUGUUACAGUUAAGUUUUUAUUCAAAGCAUUUGUAAUUUAGUUAAUAAAAGAAUUAUUAUCUGUGUUGUGUGCCCAAUUGA